rnacentral:rRNA from 1 species
ACUCCUACGGGAGGCAGCAGUGGGGAAUAUUGCACAAUGGGCGAAAGCCUGAUGCAGCAACGCCGCGUGAGUGAUGAAGGCCUUCGGGUUGUAAAGCUCUGUCUUUUGGGACGAUAAUGACGGUACCAAAGGAGGAAGCCACGGCUAACUACGUGCCAGCAGCCGCGGUAAUACGUAGGUGGCGAGCGUUGUCCGGAUUUACUGGGCGUAAAGGAUGCGUAGGCGGAUAUUUAAGUGAGAUGUGAAAUACCCGAGCUUAACUUGGGUGUUGCAUUUCAAACUGGAUAUCUAGAGUGCGGGAGAGGAGAAUGGAAUUCCUAGUGUAGCGGUGAAAUGCGUAGAGAUUAGGAAGAACACCAGUGGCGAAGGCGAUUCUCUGGACCGUAACUGACGCUGAGGCAUGAAAGCNGUGGGUAGCAAACNGGGAUUAGAUACCCUGGUAGUC